UUUCUUUUUCUCUUCUCAUUUCAGGUUUUCUAAUGCCCUUAUCUAUUUCUUUUCGCUCUUCAUUUCAGGUUUUCUGAUGCCCUAUCAACGACCCUAUUUUUGUAUAUAUAGAAGUAGAGGCAAGCAUUACGGUUCUCCGAUUUCAACAGCCUCUGAUCAUAUCCCACAGGAUUUCUAUGUAUUUUUCUAGAAAGAGCCUUGAAAUUUUCACAAUAUGCACACACCGAAAUUGGGCCGUUGGUGUAUUUAUGGAUCUUGCCUUCCAUUACCAUAAACACAUGAGAAAAGCAGCAGGUGGAGAAUACAAGUGUUGUACAGUGCUCGGCUGAAAAUGGACCACAAUGAAGCCAGAAAGAAUUUUACUCCAAUGCUCUAAAUGCAGCUAAGGAGGCUGAAGCUUUAGCAGAGGCAGGAGCCAACAAUGAAGCCAGAACUGAACUUGAGAGUUGUUUGAGAGAAGCUGGGGAGCAAGAAGCUACCCUUGUUCAAUCAAUUGAAGAAUUCAGUCAGAUUCUUAGUAGAACAGAGCAGCAUUUAAAUUUUGACCAUGUUACACAUUUCCAUAUCUGACACCUUGCUUACGCAUCUAGACCAUAGUCUACAUUUAAAUUUUACAAGUCUGUGAAAGUUCAAUGCUUGAAUAUGGUCCUCUUUUCACACAUCAUACAAGUUCACUUUCUAUGUCGACAGAAGCUUAGUUUUGGGCAACGAGCACGUUUUUUGAGCAUGGAAUCCCUGAGCAGAGAAAAGAACAAGCAAAUCAGCUUGCUGGCCACGUUCUACCUUCAAGCCUUCAGAUGUAUGGGUUCCGGGUAAUUCAAAAUGGCCCUACACGAUUCAAUCUGGCUAAUCCACGCUUACACAUGUUGCCCUUUUUAAUGGAAGGUAUGUGCUUGAUUUUAUUUUUAUUUUUAUUAUAAUUGUUGCGGGACGCAAAUAUGCUCUGCUUGAAUUCAUGAUAGGAGCUGAUUACUUGGGUUUUACUAAUCAAAGGGUAGGUGUUAAUGCAGAUGGACAACAUUCUUAUGAUCUCAGACUAGUUUGAGAUCUGUGACUAAGACUCACUAACACAACAUCUGCACCAUAUACAGACCAAUGUUUCAAAAAUUGAACCAUAGGCCAACCCAUUUCAUAAGCAGGAAGAAAAUCAGGUGCAAUAGAAAUGCUUCCAUCAUGGGCACAUGUUUCCCAAAGAGCCAAAUCGUUCAUUUAUAAAUGAAUAUUGCCUGUAGCUGUUUUAUCUG